rnacentral:rRNA from 1 species
GACGAACGCUGGCGGCGUGCUUAACACAUGCAAGUCGAACGGAAAGGCCCUGCUUUUGUGGGGUGCUCGAGUGGCGAACGGGUGAGUAACACGUGAGUAACCUGCCCUUGACUUUGGGAUAACUUCAGGAAACUGGGGCUAAUACCGGAUAGGAGCUCCUGCUGCAUGGUGGGGGUUGGAAAGUUUCGGCGGUUGGGGUUGGACUCGCGGGUUAUCAGCUUGUUGGGGGGGUAGUGGCUGACCAAGGCUUUGACGGGUAGCCGGCCUGAGAGGGUGACCGGCCACAUGAGGACUGAGAGACGGCCCAGACUCCUACGGGGGGCAACAGUGGGGAAUAUUGCACAAUGGGCGGAAGCCUGAUGCAGCAACGCCGCGUGCGGGAUGACGGCCUUCGGGUUGUAAACCGCUUUCGCCUGUGACGAAGCGUGAGUGACGGUAAUGGGUAAAGAAGCACCGGCUAACUACGUG